rnacentral:misc_RNA from 1 species
GGAAGUAAAGGUCGUAACAAGGUCUCCGUAGGUGAACCUGCGGAGGGAUCAUUACAGAGUUCAUGCCCUACCGGGUAGAUCUCCCACCCUAUGUUAUUAUUACUUUGUUGCUUUGGCGGGCCGUUAGGCUCCGGCCCGACUACCGGCCCCGGCUGGUAAGCGCCCGCCAGAGGACCCAAAACCCUGAAUAUUAGUGUCGUCUGAGUACUAUAUAAUAGUUAAAACUUUCAACAACGGAUCUCUUGGUUCUG